GAUUAGCUCAGCUGGCUAGAGCGUCCCGACGCAGGUCGGGAAGAUCAUCGGUUCGACUCCGUUAUCCUCCA
rnacentral:tRNA from 1 species